ACCUGACUGGCUCAGUGGGUAGAGCAUGUGACUCUUGAUCUCAGAAUUGUGAGUCUGAGUCCCAUGUUGGGUG
rnacentral:tRNA from 1 species